AACGUAGGAGACAAACGUUAUCCGGAGUUACUGGGCGUAAAGGGCGUGUAGGCGGUUGACUAAGUCUGGCGUAAAAGCUCGCGGCUAAACCGCGAGAGGUCGUUGGAUACUGGUUGACUAGAGGACGGUAGAGGCGUGUGGAAUUCCGGGUGUAGUGGUGAAAUGCGUAGAGAUCCGGAGGAACACCAGUGGCGAAGGCGACACGCUGGGCCGUACCUGACGCUAAAACGCGACAGCAUGGGGAGCGAACGGG
rnacentral:rRNA from 1 species